CAGGUUUCGUCCCAGUUUGCUCUUCGAACAUGAGCACAUGCCUGGAAACUAAAAAGGCGCUGUCAGAAGCUGAAGAUGGGAUGGACAGACUGUGGCCAUGAUAAGACUCAGCCGUGCUUCUUUCCAGUCUCUGCUCUGACGUGAGACCCAGGGAGUCCUUUAACUAGAAUUGAUGUCAUCUUUGUCGAGGGGGCAGCCUAAAGCUGCGCCUCCGAGU
rnacentral:lncRNA from 1 species